CCUGUUGACGGUUGUGCUCCUUUUGUAUUAGUACAUGAAUUAUAAAUAAAUAAAAGUUAUUUUAAUAUUUUUUCAUCACAAAUGUUUCAUCUUCUAAUGAACUCCUGUGUUGUGGUGAAGUCCUUAGGACUAUUUAGACUCGACAAAGGAGGAUUUGUCGCUUAGUCCUUAAACAUGUUUGCGACCAAAUGAUACGUUG
rnacentral:lncRNA from 1 species